rnacentral:rRNA from 1 species
UACGGAGGGUGCAAGCGUUAUCCGGAUUCACUGGGUUUAAAGGGUGCGUAGGUGGAUUAGUAAGUCAGUGGUGAAAUCUCCGGGCUUAACCCGGAAACUGCCAUUGAUACUAUUAGUCUUGAAUACCGUGGAGGUCAGCGGAAUAUGUCAUGUAGCGGUGAAAUGCUUAGAUAAUGACAUAGAACACCAAUUGCGAAGGCAGCUGGCUACACGAGCAUUGACACUCAGGCACGAAAGCGUGGGGAUCAAACAGG